AUUUCAAUGAGUAUAAGGUUUCAAGUCUAGCUAAAUUUGCGCUCACGACAUGCACAACGGAGGCAAGCGAUUGUGACGAACAAGUCUGCUUUCAGAAGAAUCCUUCAGAUUGUGUUACCUGUGCCUACACCAUGAUGGCAGACGUCUACGCUGACAUGAACAUUCCUGCUGCAAACGCCUUCUAAGCUGCGACAUGAAUUGAACCACGAAAGCUGCAUGGCAUGUUGAGCCUGUUAGAAGCAUUGGUGAAGCAUGGAGAAAGAAGGCCAGCUAGUGACGCUGCCCUCCUGCCACACGUUCUUUCCGCCGCUAAAUUUGUCGGAUGCUGACCAUCUCUUGAUCGGGUUAUAGGAGAUUAAAUUGUGUGAUUGCAUCUUUGUGGUUUGUCUGGUCAAUAAAUUAAUGGGGUGCAGACAUUUCCUCGCUUGCGUUUCCUACCAUAAGCACCAACACCUUAUAAUUUUGAAAAUGUCCCUUGGCAGUCGCUAUAAUUUGGAAUAGAUCUACUUAAUUACUUGUGGACAAAAAUAGUUGAUGGACGCUGCUUGUGUUACCGUGGUAGCGUCAUGGUUACGUGGUUAUGGGGUAGAUUACCUUAUCAUAAGCUGCCUCGUAUUCUUUUAAAAGGUAUAGAAGCAUGAUUUGUGACUUAACUGUAUUAGACGGUGUUAAAAACUUUACCUAAAUAGGUACGUUUUCUCUUAACUCUUUUUUUAGGGUACCUAGACAAAUCUAUUUUUGGUCAUCGAUGACGUAAUAAAAGAAAAAAA